rnacentral:rRNA from 1 species
UACGUAGGGUGCAAGCGUUAAUCGGAAUUACUGGGCGUAAAGCGUGCGCAGGCGGUCGUGCAAGACAGAUGUGAAAUCCCCGGGCUUAACCUGGGAACUGCAUUUGUGACUGCACGGCUAGAGUACGGCAGAGGGGGAUGGAAUUCCGCGUGUAGCAGUGAAAUGCGUAGAUAUGCGGAGGAACACCAAUGGCGAAGGCAGUCCCCUGGGCCUGUACCGACGUUCAGGCACGAAAGCGUGGGGAGCAAACAGG